GGGGUCUGACCCCCUCCGUGCCGCAGUUAACACAAUAAGUAUCCCACCUGGGGAGUACGAUCGCAAGGUUGAAACUCAAAGGAAUUGACGGGGGCCCGCACAAGCGGUGGAGUAUGUGAUUUAAUUCGAAGCAACGCGAAGAACCUUACCAGGGCUUGACAUCCCGGUGACCGCUCUAGAGAUAGAGUUUUCCUUCGGGACACCGGUGACAGGUGGUGCAUGGUUGUCGUCAGCUCGUGUCGUGAGAUGUUGGGUUAAGUCCCGCAACGAGCGCAACCCCUAUUGUUAGUUGCUACGCAAGAGCACUCUAGCGAGACUGCCGUUGACAAAACGGAGGAAGGUGGGGACGACGUCAAAUCAUCAUGCCCCUUAUGUCCUGGGCCACACACGUACUACAAUGGUGGUUAACAGAGGGAGGCAAUACCGCGAGGUGGAGCAAAACCCUAAAAGCCAUCCCAGUUCGGAUUGCAGGCUGCAACCCGCCUGCAUGAAGUUGGAAUCGCUAGUAAUCGCGGAUCGGCAUGCCGCGGUGAAUACGUUCCCGGGCCUUGUACACACCGCCCGUCACACCAUGAGAGUCGGGAACACCCGAAGUCCGUAGCCUAACCGCAAGGAGGGCGCGGCCGAAGGUGGGUUCGAUAAUUGGGGUGAAGUCGUAACAAGGUAACCA
rnacentral:rRNA from 1 species